rnacentral:rRNA from 1 species
UACGUAGGGAGCAAGCGUUGUCCGGAAUCAUUGGGCGUAAAGCGCGCGUAGGCGGCCCGAUAAGUCCGCUGUGAAAGUCAACGGCUCAACUGUUGGAUGCCGGUGGAUACUGUCGGGCUAGAGUACGGAAGAGGCAAGUGGAAUUCCUGGUGUAGCGGUGGAAUGCGCAGAUAUCAGGAGGAACACCGGUGGCGAAGGCGGCUCACUGGCUCGUAUCUGACGCUCAGGCGCGACAGCGUGGGGAUCAAACAGG